CCUACGGGAGGCAGCAGUGGGGAAUAUUGGACAAUGGGGGGAACCCUGAUCCAGCCAUGCCGCGUGUGUGAAGAAGGCCCUCGGGUUGUAAAGCACUUUCAGUGAGGAAGAACGCCUGGUGGUUAAUACCCAUCAGGAAAGACAUCACUCACAGAAGAAGCACCGGCUAACUCCGUGCCAGCAGCCGCGGUAAUACGGAGGGUGCGAGCGUUAAUCGGAAUUACUGGGCGUAAAGCGCGCGUAGGUGGCUUGAUAAGCCGGUUGUGAAAGCCCCGGGCUCAACCUGAGAACGGCAUCCGGAACUGUCAAGCUAGAGUGCAGGAGAGGAAGGUAGAAUUCCCGGUGUAGCGGUGAAAUGCGUAGAGAUCGGGAGGAAUACCAGUGGCGAAGGCGGCCUUCUGGACUGACACUGACACUGAGGUGCGAAAGCGUGGGUAGCAAACAGGAUUAGAUACCCUAGUAGUC
rnacentral:rRNA from 1 species